UUUAGGAGCAGAUAAGAAUGCUGAGGAAGACUCUAUAGCCAGGCUUUCUGACAAACCUGGUCCUGAUGAUUCAUGGCCUACAUCAUCUAGCCAAGUCUUACAUUUUGGUACCAAGAAUGUCCGGAAAUCACGCAUAGCAAAGCUACUGCAUUCUUCUUGGCGAUUCAUUAAAAACAUGAGAGAAAAACGUGGCACUAUGAAACCAGAAGAUGGAACCUUAUCUGAGGACAACCAUCCUCAUUCUGAAAAUAAAGAUAUGGCUGAAACUCUUUCCAAACCACCAGUCAGAGUUUACGGCGAUCCUCUUCCUGUCUUACCAUCAUCUAAAUCUCUUCUGAAACCUUCUCUCAAGACGUUAGCUGUCCUUGGUCUUGCAAAGAGUAUGUCUGAGAAGCCCAACAAAUAUGUUCCUCAUGUCUCUGGAGCUGUGGAUCAGAAAGGGCAAAGUAUAUU